AAAGAGCGCGGCGGGCAGUUGAUCUGAGAAAUACCGGCGAACUUGAUCUGGAUAAUACCAGCGAAAGGACGUGCUUCUUUUACCUC
rnacentral:ncRNA from 1 species